ACUCCUACGGGAGGCAGCAGUAGGGAAUUUUCCACAAUGGACGAAAGUCUGAUGGAGCAACGCCGCGUGCAGGAUGAAGGCUUUCGGGUCGUAAACUGCUUUUAUAUGUGACGAAUAUGACGGUAGCAUAUGAAUAAGGAUCGGCUAACUCCGUGCCAGCAGCCGCGGUAAU
rnacentral:rRNA from 1 species